UUUCUCUUUUUUUUUUUUAUAGAAAUUUACACCCUCCUUUUUUUUUUUCGCUUCUCUAAUACAUUUCUAAGAUCUACAGAUGGGAUUGAGCUGCUGCUUUUUCCUCCUGUUUUUGGUGGAUUUCAGGAUAUUCUAGGGUUUCUCUUUUUCUAUGGUUUGGAUCGAAAAUAUUCGGAAAGAUUCCAUCCUUUGUGGCUUUUUCCUAGGCUUUUGAUCUGGUUGUGUUGGGGAUUUUUCGUUAUUUGAUGUUUUAGGGUUUUAUUUUAUUUUAUUGGUAGGGUUUGUGAAAUUUUUUUUGUGGUCAGGGUUUCUGGAAUUGAUGACGAGGGGUUGUUUGUUUUGGGAUUUUGGAGAUGGGGUUUGGUUUUAUUGCUGGUUGAUUGAUGUUUUCUAGGGUUUUGUUUUGUUAGGGUUGGUGAAAUUUCUAUCUUUUUCGUGGUGGGUUUUUUCUUUUCUUUUUUUCAAAAUUCUAAUUUUUUAGGUUGGCGUUUGUGAAAUUGGUUGAAGUCGUUUUGGGGGAUUGUGUUGGUAUUUCUGGGUUUUCUGAAAUAUCACUCCUUUUUUUUACUGGUUGAUUGUUUCUUUAUAGGGUUUCUGAAAUUCCUGCAAGGGGGUGUGUUUUGGGCGUUUUGAAGAUGGGGUUUUGGUUUUUAUUACCUGCUGAUUGAUAUUUCUGGAGCUUAUGGAAUCUCUAUUUCUUCUAGUUGAUUGAUGUUUCUAGGGUUUCUUUUUCUAGGGUUUCUGAAGCUCCUCAAAAGGGUUUCUUUAUGGAGGUGUUUUUGAUGGUGUUUGGGUGUUAUCUCUAGCUGGGUUUUCUGAGGUGGGCCUUUUGGAAUGGAUUUGUGAUGUUUUCUGUGAGAUGCUUCUGUUGAGUCUGGUGGAUUUGGAAAAAUUCAAAGGAGAUAAGGAAAGAUGGGGGAAGCACGCCUCACGACCCUCUCGAUGGAGAAUCACCACCCGUCGACUCUCCUCUCCAUGGACUCAAGCGCCACAGCAUCCCACGACGAUUGUGACCGAGAGUUGAGUCGUUCCGUUGUCCUCUCUCGUCCGCCGGAUAUAAACCUCCCCUUGUCAGCUGAGCGGAGCCCACCUCCCCCACCAUGGAAUUCUGACAUAUGUGACAUCUUGGAUGUUGGCCUUGGGCCUCAGAUCUAUGAGACUGAGGCCUUCCUCAAUCUCCCUAAGGCUGGGCGUAAGUGCGCUAAACGGGGAGAUAGCAUCUGGGGGGCCUGGUUUUUCUUCAAUUUCUACUUCAAGCCGGUGUUGAACGAGAAAUCCAAGAGUAAGAUUACUCGUGAUGCAACAGGCGUGUCAGGGUUUGAUAAAUCAGACCUCCGGCUCGAUGUUUUCCUGGUUCAGCAUGAUAUGGAGAACAUGUAUAUGUGGGUUUUCAAGGAAAGGCCAGAGAAUGCGUUGGGUAAGAUGCAGCUGAGGAGUUACAUGAAUGGCCAUUCACGUUUGGGGGAGCCACAGUUUCCAUUCAGUGUUGAUAAGGGCUUUGUUCGAUCUCAUAGAAUGCAGCGGAAGCAGUACAGGGGCCUGUCUAACCCACAGUGUGUGCAUGGGAUCGAGGUUGUCAGGUCGCCUAAUCUCGCCGUGAUCUCUGAGGUUGAUCGCAAGAAGUGGAUGGAGCUGACGGGCAGGGACUUGAACUUCUCGAUACCAACCGAAGCGAGUGAUUUUGGGUCGUGGAGGAAUCUUCCGAACACAGAGUUUGAGCUUGAGAGGGCUCCUGCUUUGAAAAGUACUACAAAUCCAAAUUCAAGGAAGUUGCUUAAUGGGGCAGGUUUGAAUUUGUCAACAACAAAUCACAUUAGCGGGGACGGGAUGGAUCUCUCUCCCGUCCAUAACAAACGGAGGAAGGAUUUCUUCCCACAUGGCAAUGAAGAUGAUUGUGGUUUGACAAAUUCAUUUUCUGAUCGAGUUCAAGAUAUCGAGAUGCACCCAAUCGAGCCACCAUGGUUGAAUGAUUUCUCUGGUGUAAUGAGGCAUACAUACGGGCCAGUAACAGCUGCAAAGACUAUUUAUGAGGAUGAAGAAGGGUACUUGAUAAUGGUUAGCUUGCCUUUUUCUGAUCUCCAGAGAGUGAAAGUAUCUUGGAGGAACACUAUGACUCAUGGGAUUGUGAAAAUACUUUGUGUCAGUACAGCUCGGAUGCCAUUCAUUAAGAGGCAUGAUAGGACAUUCAAGCUCACGGAUCCGUCUCCUGAGCACUGCCCUCCAGGGGAGUUCGUGAGGGAAAUACCGCUCACAACUCGAAUUCCAGAAGAUGCUAAGCUAGAAGCAUACUAUGAUGAGACGGGUACUGUCCUAGAGAUUAUGGUUCCAAAACUCCGUGUGGGACCAGAAGAAGAGCAUGAAGUCCGUGUGUGCCUACGCCCUCACCUUAGUGCCAAUGAGCUUCUAUUAACUUGAUAUGGCUAGGGGCCGAAAAAUGUAGGGUGGUUGCCAUGGUGUGUGUGUACUACCUCUGUACCAUAAAAUGAAAAUCUAUGAAUUGAAAAGUGCACCCUUUUACCAUAUUUGGCAACGUGGUUCUGCGGAAGGCUAUGGUGUUUUUGGGCAUCUGAUUGGCAUUUGGCUGGGAUUGCUCCUGAGCUGCACAAGUUCUUAGGGAAAUGGCGUUGCUUUCUUGCCAAUUUUGCGGUCUUUGGAUGUAUUGAUGCCCUGAAGAUGAUCUGUCCCAGAAAAUCUCUACCAAGUAUGAUGGUGAAAUGUUGUAUAGGCAUCCAUGAAUCAUGAUGGAUGUGUAGUGUAUGGAUGUCAUCUUGUAGAUCUGGGACCCAAUGAAGCCAUUAUCAUCUCUUCCUUAGUAUAAAAUAAACAGUGAAUCUGACAAUUAGCAUGAUUA